UGUCCCACAUCGGUGAGGAACAAGGUUUGCUAUGUGCUUAUAUGAUCUUGGGCUACUUCCCAUAUUGCCAAUUAGUUUUAUGGUAGAACCUUAAUUUUAUCAUAGUAUACCCUAAUAAUAUUUAGGCAAUCGAUCAUUCUAGAUUGGCGGGGAAGCUCACAUGUGUAGAGUCUUUGAGUGUCUUAGAAGUUCAGAUCUUCAAAGUAUAGUAAAGGAGAAAUGUUAAGAAAACACUCUCAAAACGGAACUCUCUAAGAUGUCGAUUAAGAAUCUGUUUAGAUGUUAACCAUGCUUGCAUCUAUUUGCCUCCUUCAUGUGUAUGAACAUGCUGAAGAAAGAAUCAAGUAACUAAUUAUAAUUAGAUUAGCAACAACUAUCCCUACGCACGCGUGAGUAAUUAUCAGUUAUUGACACAUAUGUUGGUCACUGCUUAUUAACACUCAAAAUGACUGUCAAUCGUUGAUGUAUUACGGAACUCAUAUAUACGACUAUUCCUACAUCAUUCUAACGACCAUUUAGUGGUGCAAUAAGAUGGUUGUUGGGAUAGUGGAAAAUGUCAGCCGUGGCUGGCUGCUGCAGGCGAGUAAGUUGACUUGAUCAAAGUCGGUUGGCUUGCCAAUUUGGACCAAACCCUAAUUGUAGUCUGUUUAUGCUGGCAGUAAUCGGCAACCACCAUUGAGGCAUUGACUACAACUGCUACAAUAUUGAAAUUUCGAGGAAUAAUCAGUAGUGGAUUGCAUGAUGAACAGCUUCCAGUAUAUUGACCCAUGAAAGAUAUAUUUCUACUGGUAAAUCCUACAUUCAACUCAUUACAGUCGAGAUUUACUUUUUAUUUAAAUAAAAGUGAUAUUCUUAUUCUGAACUACUGCACUAAGAAGAGAAGAAGUUUGAAUUCGGAGCACCAGUGUGAACAAAAAUACUCUAAGUACGAGAGCCAUCCUCCACAACUUACUAGGUUGGUGCCUUUUUGACUAAAUAAUUCGAUCACGUGAUAAGUGAGACACUCAUAAUGGUGAUGAAGUGAAUGAGGCUGUGGCAGCACCGAAAACAGAACAAACAUGGUGAAGCUUGAAUGCAUGGGUGAAUAAUGGUGAUAAACGACUGAACAUACGAGGAAGACGACAGAUGGAAUGAAUCAAAAUUCACAUGGCCUUGCUCUCUCCAUGUUUCUCUGUGUCGUAUGCUAUCAAUUGAAUUAUCUUCCAUCUUUGAUAACUCUAUUAAACUAAUUAAUUAAUGUGCAAUUCGAUU